rnacentral:rRNA from 1 species
AUUGAACGCUGGCGGCAGGCCUAACACAUGCAAGUCGAACGAGUGGCGGACGGGUGAGUAAUGUCUGGGAAACUGACUGAUGGAGGGGGAUCACUACUGGAAACGGUAGCUAAUACCGCAUACCAUCAGAUGGGCCCAGAUGGGAUGAGCUAGGUGGUGGGGUAAAGGCUCACCAAGGCGACGAUCCCGAGCUGGUCUGAGAGGAGGCCCAGCCACACUGGAACGGCGACACGGUCCAGACUCCUACGGUAGGCAGAAGUGGGGAAUAUUGCACAAGGGGCGCAAGCCUGAUGCAGCCAUGCCGCGUGUAUGAAGAAGGCCUUCGGGUUGUAAAGUACUUUCAGUGGGGAGGCGUUACCCGCAGAAUAAGCACCGGCUAACUCCGUGCCAGCGGCCGCGGUAAUAC